rnacentral:rRNA from 1 species
AGAGUUUGAUCCUGGCUCAGAAUGAACGUUUAGCGGCGUGCCUGAUGCAUGCAAGUCGAACGGUUUGAUGGGUUCGCAAGGAUUAUCGGACAGUGGCGAACGGCUGAGUAACGCGUAAGUGAUCUACCUCUAAGUGGGGAAUAACCUGCCGAAAGGCAAGCUAAUACCGCAUAUGCUGGUGAGCGUAAGGUUUAUCAGUAAAGCCUUCGGGCGCUUAGAGAGGGGCUUGCGUCUGAUUAGCUAGUUGGUGGGGUAAUAGCCUACCAAGGCGAUGAUCAGUAGCUGGUCUGAGAGGACGACCAGCCAGACGGGGACUGAGAUACGGCCCUGACUCCUACGGGAGGCAGCAGCAAGGAAUUUUGCGCAAUGGGCGAAAGCCUGACGCAGCGACGCCGCGUGGGGACGAAGGCCUUUCGGGUUGUAAACCCUUUUUCUUGAAGAAGAACAAUGACGGUACUCAAGGAAUAAGUCUUGGCUAACUACGUGCCAGCCGCCGCGGUAAUA